CCUACGGGUGGCAGCAGUGGGGAAUAUUGGACAAUGGGCGAAAGCCUGAUCCAGCCAUGCCGCGUGUGUGAAGAAGGCCUUCGGGUUGUAAAGCACUUUCAGUGGGGAAGAAAGCCUUGGGGCUAAUACCCUCGAGGAAGGACAUCACCCACAGAAGAAGCACCGGCUAACUCCGUGCCAGCAGCCGCGGUAAUACGGAGGGUGCGAGCGUUAAUCGGAAUUACUGGGCGUAAAGCGCGCGUAGGCGGUCUGAUAAGCCGGUUGUGAAAGCCCCGGGCUCAACCUGGGAACGGCAUCCGGAACUGUCAGGCUAGAGUGCCGGAGAGGAAGGUAGAAUUCCCGGUGUAGCGGUGCAAUGCGUAGAGAUCGGGAGGAAUACCAGUGGCGAAGGCGGCCUUCUGGACUGACACUGACGCUGAGGUGCGAAAGCGUGGGUAGCAAACAGGAUUAGAUACCCCAGUAGUC
rnacentral:rRNA from 1 species